rnacentral:rRNA from 1 species
UACGGGGGGGGCAAGCGUUGUUCGGAAUUACUGGGCGUAAAGGGCUCGUAGGCGGCCACCUAAGUCCGACGUGAAAUCCCAAGGCUUAACCUUGGAACUGCGUCGGAUACUGGAUGGCUUGAAUUCGGGAGAGGGAUGCAGAAUUCCAGGUGUAGCGGUGAAAUGCGUAGAUAUCUGGAGGAACACCGGUGGCGAAGGCGGCAUCCUGGACCGGCAUUGACGCUGAGGCGCGAAAGCCAGGGGAGCAAACGGG